rnacentral:tRNA from 1 species
GCGCUUGUAGCUCAGUGGUAAGAGCAGAGGUCUCAUAAACCUUUGGUCGUGGGUUCAAAUCCCACCGGGCGCACCA